AAUUGCUGGUCUGAGUUCACAUACUAACAGGUGAUAAUAUCUAGGUUUUGUAAAGUUUAAAAUCUGAAAACAGACUGGAUAUGGGACCUGAAAGUAAGCAAAGGAAGAGACAUGAAAUGGAAGAGAACACAACAGGCAUCAGUUCAGCUAGAGGUCUUCCUACAUUCCAUACCCACAUAAGUACACUGCUAUUUUCAGAGAAGUGGAUGCAGAACCUUAUCAGGUAAAUAACAGGAAAAUAAGACGAAUUAUUAAUGUCAUCCUUAUUAUUUCCUCAAACAAAAUGAAAAAUGAAUGAGAAGACCCUGGCGACUUCGGAAUCCUAAGGUCUGACAUUCCAUGAUUCAGCUGGCUGUCUGGCCCAUUACUUUCCACCAUUUUCUCAGGCGCACUUUUUAAGGGUGUUUUGAACUGCUCACUUCUUCCUCCUGCUGGGAAGUUGCUGGGUUUGGCAAGCUCUCUCAAAAUACCAUAGAUCUUCAUGGCCAGCAGGUGGUGCUCUUAUUAAGCCCCUUUCACAAAGUUAACAAGAUUUUCCCCAAGGUUAUAUAUCCUCUGUAUUUCCAACUAAGGAUUAAAUGGACUUGAUUACUUGAGAUGAUGAAGAAAGCAAAGCCCCCUUCCUGCUGGAAUACUAACAGGUUAUUAUACUCUAGUCUCUCUACCUUCCACAGCCAGGCAAAGAGUUGGCUGUAACAACAGUCUCUCAAUUUCUAUCACCAAAACACACUUAAUGAGAGUGGCUGAGGUACAGUCAAGGUGUGAGACAAAACUCCAGGAUGAAGAGCAGCAGCUGGUUGUCAUUCUAACAAAUUACACAAACUGGAUAGGAAACAGCAUUAAAACUCUACUUAAAAAAAAAAAAAAAUCUGUCAUACGGGGCCAGAGAAAGUAUCACAUUCAAACAAUUUCUGUAUUUACGUUUGAUAUAAAUGUAACUAACCAUCCACAGAAAUUAAUGAGUCAAAAUCAUUUUUAACCCUGCUAUGAAAAAAAAAAAACUUGGAAAUCCUUCUUGAGUCCUCUCUUUUAACCAGUCAACUCUACUUCUAGAGAAGAGGCUGUAAAGGGUGGCCCAGUAGGCAAAUUACCACACAAGUGCUUGACCCACACAGUAGUAUGCCAAGCUGCUCUUAUUGUUAUGCUAUACAGUGAUGUACAGGGAAUCCCAAUACUUCAGGGGGUGUUAUUUACAAAGAAUAUUAUGUGAAUGGUGCCCUUUGGAGUUGGCUAUCUCUGCAACCAUGGGAGUCUUCCUAUUUCCAAAUGGACUGCAUUCUGAAUGUGGCAGCUGUUUGGAUCUAAGCAAAAUUAUUCCAACAGAAAUAAUAUUAGAUAUGGUAACCAGGUCGUCAGGUCAACCCACUGAAGUGUAAUUAAUCCACAGGCAAAUAAAAUAGUUCAUAGAGCCUCCGUGUGUGUGUGUGUGUGUGUGUAUGUAUGUGUAUAUAUAUAUAUAUAUAUAUAUAUAUUUUUUUUUUUUUUUUU